GCCCAGUCGUGGGGGAUAACGCAGCGAAAGCUGCGCUAAUACCGCAUACGAUCUAUGGAUGAAAGCGGGGGACCGUAAGGCCUCGCGCGAUUGGAGCGGCCGAUGUCAGAUUAGGUAGUUGGUGGGGUAAAGGCUCACCAAGCCAACGAUCUGUAGCUGGUCUGAGAGGACGACCAGCCACACUGGGACUGAGACACGGCCCAGACUCCUACGGGAGGCAGCAGUGGGGAAUUUUGGACAAUGGGCGCAAGCCUGAUCCAGCAAUGCCGCGUGCAGGAAGAAGGCCUUCGGGUUGUAAACUGCUUUUGUACGGAACGAAACGGUCUGGGUUAAUACCCUGGACUAAUGACGGUACCGUAAGAAUAAGCACCGGCUAACUACGUGCCAGCAGCCGCGGUAAUACGUAGGGUGCAAGCGUUAAUCGGAAUUACUGGGCGUAAAGCGUGCGCAGGCGGGUUUGUAAGACAG
rnacentral:rRNA from 1 species